UACGAAGGGGGCUAGCGUUGCUCGGAAUUACUGGGCGUAAAGAGCUCGUAGGUGGUUUGUCGCGUUGUCCGUGAAAACUCACAGCUCAACUGUGGGCGUGCGGGCGAUACGGGCAGACUGGAGUACUGCAGGGGAGACUGGAAUUCCUGGUGUAGCGGUGGAAUGCGCAGAUAUCAGGAAGAACACCUAUGGCGAAGGCAGCUCUCUGGGACGGUACUGACGGCUGAGACGCGAAAGCGUGGGGAGCGAACAGG
rnacentral:rRNA from 1 species